GUAUUGUGUAAGAAGAAUAAUGUAAGAAAAUAGGACAAACUAGUUCUAGACUCAAAUAGUAUUAAUAAGCAAAGAUAAGUACCAGCAAGGGAAAGUAUGAAAAUGGUUAUUCUAUAAGCAGUUAUAGAUAAAAAAUCAAUAACGUACCUUUUGUAUAAUGGGUCAGCAAGUAAUUAAUAUUAGCAAAAUAAAAAAAUUAAAAAAAAAUUGAAUAAAAAAAAAUUGUGGAAAAGUUAAUAUUAAUUGACCCGAAAGCAAAUGAUCUUAUUAUGACAAGACGGAAAAAAUUAAUAAAUAAAAAAGUUAAUAAAACGGUCGAACAGGUUGAUGUUGCAAAAUCAUCUGAUUAGUUGUGAUAAGUGGUGAAAGACAAAUCUGAUUUGCAGAUAGCUGGUUUUCUAUGAAAUAUAUGUAAGUAUAGCCUUUAUAAAUAUAAUUAUUAAUAAAAAUAAUAUAAAUUUAUUAAAGAACGGUACAGCUACAAUAUCAAUAAUUAAAAAAAAGU
rnacentral:rRNA from 1 species